GGAGAAUUGUCCGAGUGGCUUAAGGAGCACGCUUGGAAAGCGUGUAUACGGGUUAAACCGUAUCGAGGGUUCGAAUCCCUCAUUCUCCU
rnacentral:tRNA from 4 species